AACGAACGCUGGCGGCAGGCUUAACACAUGCAAGUCGAACGCCCCGCCAGGGGAGUGGCAGACGGGUGAGUAACGCGUGGGAACAUACCCUUUUCUACGGAAUAGCUCUGGGAAACUGGAAUUAAUACCGUAUACGCCCUACGGGGGAAAGAUUUAUCGGGGAAGGAUUGGCCCGCGUUGGAUUAGCUAGUUGGUGGGGUAAAGGCCUACCAAGGCGACGAUCCAUAGCUGGUCUGAGAGGAUGAUCAGCCACAUUGGGACUGAGACACGGCCCAAACUCCUACGGGAGGCAGCAGUGGGGAAUAUUGGACAAUGGGCGCAAGCCUGAUCCAGCCAUGCCGCGUGAGUGAUGAAGGCCUUAGGGUUGUAAAGCUCUUUCACCGAUGAAGAUAAUGACGGUAGUCGGAGAAGAAGCCCCGGCUAACUUCGU
rnacentral:rRNA from 1 species